GAAAACAAUAACAAAAAAAAUGUUAUAGCUGAGUCUGCUUCCCAGCGGCUACUGAGCUUAACAUCACUUAGUUUAUCAUGGAAAAUAAGCAAUGGAAAUAAGUAUAGCUACUAUUCUGUUUUUCUAACUAUGAGUAUCUGAAAGAAUCAGUUAUAAGUGAAGCCUAAUUAAUGUACUUUUCAAUAGGGAGCCAAAACAGGUUAAUCAGUCAUUUAUAUGCAUAUAGGAGUGGAAGGAAAGACUAUGACUGUGAACUCACUUUGUCCCAUAAGCAAAGUCUGACAUCAGGUUCUAUUUAGAAAUAGCAUGUGAUCAAUGAGUACGUCUGCUGAAACAGUGACAUCAGGCUCUGAGAUAGACUAUAAAAUCUAACUGAGGUGGUUUAGUGAAUCAGAGACAUGGUUAUGAGUUGAGUUCACAAAUUUUUUAGCUUUCCUUCCCAUCCUUGCUUCAAUCAGCUUUCCUUUAACUGGUUGGUCUUGGUCAAAGAACUCCUGAGCUGGAGGGCUGAUGUUUGUCUCUGGAGACUGCUCCAAAUGGUUGUCCUCUGAAGGGCUCUCCUGAACUUGAAGUUGGCACUUGGAAAUCUGUCUCUGUGAGUGCUUAGGCUAGUCCCAUUCCCAAAUAUCUAGAGGGGUGCAGAAGCUCUGAACACCCACCUAUCUGCAGAUGAGAUGAUAACAGUUCAACUCACCCAAAGUUCUGGAUUUUAUUAUUGGUCCAGAGUUAUUUUAAAGCUUCCAUUUAAAAUAGUUGCAAUGAGGUUUAAAGAUGCAAAUCUCCACACCAGGGGUUGCAAACUGAUGGCUCGCAGGAUGCAUCUGGCUUGCAGGCUUCUGAACCCAGGGUCUCUGAGGGUGGUGCACCAAGCAGACCCAUCACUUGGCAAGUCGCUUAACUUUUCUUGACCUCGGAAUCAUGCAUGAAACAUCCAGCAGGAACUGAUGAGCUCUUUAGGUGUGUCAAUUCCUGAUUGACUAAAUGCCUGCCUCAGCACCUUUCUUGGCCUGGGUUACACAAGAGAAUUUAGCCCAAAUACUGUGACAUUCAUAUUGAUAAUAAGUCAUCUUCUAUAUAUGUGGACUAAUAUAAAUUAUGACCUACCCUUGGGAGAAUUGAAGAGUCCCUUGGAUCUUUCUCUGUUCUGGUUCAGAUGAAAAACCUUGGUUGAGAAAGGCUUCAACUGUGAACUAGAAAUCCCUGCCUCUAAAGCUCAUAGACAGGCAUUUAAACCAAUAAUUGUGGGAAAUGCAAAUAAAAAGCAUUUAAUGGAAAGCAGUAUAGCAGCAUGCAGGAAGAAGUGCCUCUGCGGCUCUUGGACUGACCAAUGGGACAGUUCUACUGCUGCUUUAGUUUCUGCUCCUUCCCUGGUAUCGGGUUGCUAUGAGUCAUUUCUCUGGGCACCACUCUACUUCCAUCAUCUACAAAUCUCUUCCCUCCUAGUUUUCUAGUUUGAUGCAGGCUGAUAUGCCAUGGGAUUUCUAUUAGCCAGUCAGGGCUUUUACAGCGAGUGUGGCUAUCACCUAAAACCAUUUAACAUUUGUCUUAACUGGGUUCUGUUUCACAUGUCAGUUAAGGCAGUGUGUUCAAAAUGUGAAAGUCCUACAAAUGUCACAUCUCUAAAUUGGAAUCAUUAACCCGAACUGGUCUCCAAAUUUAUGACAAGAUUGCAAAUCACUGAAUACCAAGUCACUAUUCCAGCAACCAAAUACAGAUCCCUCAUCUUUUUCACAGACGCUUCCCUGAAUAAUAGUUGCAUUUAUUUAGUUAUCCUCUAUAUGUAUAACUUAGGAAAUUCUGACUCUUUGUGUUUCUAUUCCCUACUUUCCCAAAGAUAUUAAUAAAGAACAGUCAACAAACA